ensembl:snRNA U6 U6 spliceosomal RNA
GUGCUCACUUUAGCAGCACAUAUACUGAAAUUGGAACAAUACGGAGAUUAGCAUGGCCCCUUGGCAAGGAUCAUAUGCAAAUCUGUGAAGUGUUCCAUAUUUUU